rnacentral:rRNA from 1 species
ACGACGCUGGCGGCGUGGAGUUAGGCAUGCAAGUCGAACGGUAGAGAUUCCUUCGGGGUAUCUUGAGAGUGGCGAACGGGUGAGUAACGCGUAGGUUAUCUACCCUCAAAUUGGGGACAACCCAGGGAAACUUGGGCUAAUACCGAAUGAGAGUGCUCUUCGGAGUAUUUAAAAGAUGGCAGUAAUGCUGUUGUUUGAGGAUGAGCCUGCGUCCCAUUAGUUAGUUGGUGAGGUAACGGCUCACCAAGGCGAUGAUAGGUAGGCGGCCUUAACGGGUGGUCGCCCACACUGGGAUUGAGAUACGGCCCAGACUCCUACGGGAGGCAGCAGUCGAGAAUAGUCUACAAUGGUCGAAAGACUGAUAGUGCGACGCCGCGUGAACGAUGAAGUCCUUCGGGGCGUAAAGUUCUUUUAUAUGUGAGCAAUGCCAGAUAUAUGAAUAGUAUGUUUGGAGCGAUAUUAGCAUAUGAAUAAGCAACGGCUAACUCCGUG